AGUGAGCGUUGGCGGCGUGGAUUUGGCAUGCAAGUCGAGCGAGGACCGUAGCAAUACGGGGACAGCGGCGAAAGGGACAGUAAUGUGUAGGUACCUACCUCCGGGUUCGGGAUAGCUGCGGGAAACUGCAGGUAAUACCGAAUAACGUCUCCGGACCAAAGGUGUGAUUCCACCUGGAGAGGGGCCUGCAUCCUAUUAGCUUGUUGGCGGGGUAACGGCCCUCCAAGGCGACGAUGGGUAGCGGGUGUGAGAGCACGACCCGCGUCAUUGGGACUGAGACACUGCCCAGACACCUACGGGUGGCUGCAGUCGUGAAUCUUCGGCAAUGGGCGCAAGCCUGACCGAGCGACGCCGCGUGCGGGAUGAAGGCCUUCGGGUUGUAAACCGCUGUCGUAGAGGAGGAAAUGCAGGGGGGUUCUCCCCUCUGUUUGACCUAUUCUAGGAGGAAGUACGGGCUAAGUUCGUGCCAGCCGCCGCAGUAA
rnacentral:rRNA from 1 species